UACGUAGGGUGCGAGCGUUGUCCGGAUUUAUUGGGCGUAAAGAGCGUGUAGGCGGCCAGGUAGGUCUGCUGUGAAAACUCGAGGCUCAACCUCGAGACGUCGGCGGAAACCAUCUGGCUAGAGUCCGGAAGAGGAGAGUGGAAUUCCUGGUGUAGCGGUGAAAUGCGUAGAUAUGCGGAGGAACACCGAUGGCGAAGGCAAUCCCCUGGGCCUGCACUGACGCUCAUGCACGAAAGCGUGGGGAGCAAACAGG
rnacentral:rRNA from 1 species